CAGAUUCAGUCUUCAGUCUCUCAAUGCAAGAAAUCUAUCAAAAAUAGAUAUCAGUUUUAGAGAUUCUACAUUUAUGUUCAUGAAAUUUAGAGAGAAAUAAUUACAAAUGCAGAUGUACCGAACACAGCCCCGGUGAUCAGUGACCAGUCUUGUCCUGUACUAGCUCAGUGUUUGAAGCAGCUCAGCACAGACACAUCACAGACUGAUUAAACUUUCAGUGGCUCCUGAAUACCAUUUUCACCUCUCAAAGCAACCAAGCGAUAUUUCAGAUAUCCCUCUAACCAAUCGUGCCUAAAAAGCUUUUCAAAGUGCUGAGUGGAGGAGCACUUGAGUUUGAGGAAGGGUUAUGUUCUCCGUGCAGCAGGUAGAACAGAAUGGUGUGGAGAGCAGUAAUAAAUAUGGUUCUUUUAAUACAAUAGCUUUGUAGGUCACUCCGUGGAGAGGCGAGGUGCGCUCACUCAGCCGGCUGCUCCUGCGGAGCCCGCGCAGCCCACAGACACAGGAACACGCAACCUUUAAAGAUGGAUUUGAAAAGGUCAAAGCA